rnacentral:rRNA from 1 species
GACAGAGGUCCCGAGCGUUAGGCGGAAUCACUGGGCUUAAAGCGUGUGUAGGCGGAUUUGUAAGUACCUUGUGAAAAUCCCACGGCUCAACCGUGGAACUGCUUUGGUAUACUGCUUAUCUUGGGGCCACUUAGGGGGUUACCGGAACAAACGGUGGAGCGGUGAAAAUGCGUAGAUAUCAGGAGGAACACCGGUGGCGAAGGCGGUUCUCUGGGGCAUUUACCCUGACGUGAGGAGCGAAAAAGUGUGGGGGGAGCGAAACAGG